rnacentral:rRNA from 1 species
ACACUCCUGCGGGAGGCAGCAGUGGGGAAUAUUGCACAAUGGGCGCAAGCCUGAUGCAGCCAUGCCGCGUGUGUGAAGAAGGCCUUCGGGUUGUAAAGCACUUUCAGCGGGGAGGAAGGCGAUACGGUUAAUAACCGUGUUGAUUGACGUUACCCGCAGAAGAAGCACCGGCUAACUCCGUGCCAGCAGCCGCGGUAAUACGGAGGGUGCAAGCGUUAAUCGGAAUUACUGGGCGUAAAGCGCACGCAGGCGGUCUGUCAAGUCGGAUGUGAAAUCCCCGGGCUCAACCUGGGAACUGCAUUGGAAACUGGCAGGCUUGAGUCUUGUAGAGGGGGGUAGAAUUCCAGGUGUAGCGGUGAAAUGCGUAGAGAUCUGGAGGAAUACCGGUGGCGAAGGCGGCCCCCUGGACAAAGACUGACGCUCAGGUGCGAAAGCGUGGGGAGCAAACAGGAUUAGAUACCCCUGUAGUCCCA